rnacentral:pre_miRNA from 1 species
CAGGUACUCCCUCCGUUCGGAAUUACUUGUCACGGAAAUGAAUAUAUCUAGACGUAUUUUAGUUCUAGAUACAUUCAUUUCCGAGACAAGUAAUUCCGAACGGAGGGAGUACUCC